AGUGAACGCUGGCGGUAGGCCUAACACAUGCAAGUCGAACGGCAGCACAGUAAGAGCUUGCUCUUACGGGUGGCGAGUGGCGGACGGGUGAGGAAUACAUCGGAAUCUACUUUUUCGUGGGGGAUAACGUAGGGAAACUUACGCUAAUACCGCAUACGACCUACGGGUGAAAGCAGGGGAUCUUCGGACCUUGCGCGAUUGAAUGAGCCGAUGUCGGAUUAGCUAGUUGGCGGGGUAAAGGCCCACCAAGGCGACGAUCCGUAGCUGGUCUGAGAGGAUGAUCAGCCACACUGGAACUGAGACACGGGCCAGACUCCUACGGGAGGCAGCAGUGGGGAAUAUUGGACAAUGGGCGCAAGCCUGAUCCAGCCAUACCGCGUGGGUGAAGAAGGCCUUCGGGUUGUAAAGCCCUUUUGUUGGGAAAGAAAAGCAGCAGGUUAAUACCCCGCCGUUCUGACGGUACCCAAAGAAUAGGCACCGGCUAACUUCGUG
rnacentral:rRNA from 1 species